rnacentral:rRNA from 1 species
UACAGAGGUGCCAAGCGUUAGGCGGAAUCACUGGGCUUAAAGCGCGUGUAGGCGGGUCGUUAAGUGUCCGAGUGAAAUCCCACGGCUCAACCGUGGAACUGCCGGGCAUACUGGCGAUCUUGAGGCAUUCAGGGGCGAGCGGAACAAAUGGUGGAGCGGUGAAAUGCGUAGAUAUCAUUUGGAACGCCAAUGGUGAAAACAGCUCGCUGGGAAUGAUCUGACGCUGAGACGCGAAAGCCAGGGGAGCGAGCGGG